rnacentral:lncRNA from 1 species
UUGCACUCACUUUCCCCAAUUACCAUCAACCCUAGCUAUUCCUAAACGCUCAAUAGACGCGACCAGAAAACCAAAAAAAUUCUGCUUUCAAUUUCUUUCGUGGUGGCUGCUUGAUUAAGGUUUGAAACGGUAAGUUCCUUCCCCCUCUAAUUUUAUUUGUUUCUAGUUUAGGGUUUUGAUUCUCUUGAAGCUUUGGUUAAUGCUCUUAAAAUAGGAGGUCGUACCUCAGGUCAACACUCCCUCAAAGUAAAAAUUAGGGCUCAAAACCAUGCGAAGUCAUCACUGAAUUCUCAAGAACACGAGCUUUCCAUGUUGUAUUGGAGUAUAACCUUUUCAGUUUUCACGACAAAUUUUAAUUUCAAUCUUUUAGUCGUGUAUUUUGGUGGUUUAUGGUUUAACUUGUGACGGGUAUUUAGAUUGGAGAAUUUGAGGAAAAGGAAAUCCCAUGAGUGUUGAUAGUUUUGUAGCCUAGCCUUUCACUUAGCUAGUUACUAGGUGAUAGUCAACCCAAAUAGAAAAGUUAGAACUAUAAUAGUUAUCUCAGCAGGAAAUCUUUUCCACUAUAGUUUUGUAAUUUGCUUUAUUAGUUUGAGCCAUAAAUUAGUUUCUUCCAAUUUUGUCUCACUCAAAAGCAAAACAGAGACCUAUGCUUGGUCAAAGAAAAGUCCAGUAGCAUCUGCCGUAGGCAUGUGUGCGGUGGCAUCUGCAGUAUUUUGUGUUCUUCUUCAAAUUGUUCUUUAACUGAAAGAAUGUUGAUUGUUGUUGAAGCAUUGAUGUUAUUAGUCAAGACUAGUGUUUCGAUUAGUGUUUUGUUUAUGCCUGUGUAUGAUGAAAUCUCAUUUCCUAGUAUUGAAAAGUAUCUUGUCCGAAUAUUUCAUUUUACUCAGGUAUAAAGUAUUUCACAACAUGGAGGUUAGAGAGGAAUAUCUUGAAUGAGUCAAAGCUAUAAAGUUAUGGUUUGAAAUUUUUAAUAUCCUUCUCUAUUAAGUAAUUAAUUAUUAAUUUCCAGGAGUAAUGUUGAAGAAGUGGCACUUACUAUCAGAGGCAAAAAAGAAUAAGAUCAACUACUUGAUGGCUAUGUCGGAGGAGG